GCAUAUCAAUAAGCGGAGGAAAAGAAACCAACAGGGAUUGCCUCAGUAACGGCGAGUGAAGCGGCAACAGCUCAAAUUUGAAAUCUGGCCUCGGCCCGAGUUGUAAUUUGUAGAGGAAGCUUUGGGUGCGGCACCGACCGAGUCCCCUGGAACGGGGCGCCAUAGAGGGUGAGAGCCCCGUAUGGUUGGACGCCUAUCCUGUGUAAAGCUCCUUCGACGAGUCGAGUAGUUUGGGAAUGCUGCUCAAAAUGGGAGGUAAAUUUCUUCUAAAGCUAAAUAUUGGCCAGAGACCGAUAGCGCACAAGUAGAGUGAUCGAAAGAUGAAAAGCACUUUGAAAAGAGGGUUAAAUAGCACGUGAAAUUGUUGAAAGGGAAGCGCUUGUGACCAGACUUGCGCCUCGUCGAUCAUCCGGGGUUCUCCCCGGUGCACUCGGCGGGGCUCAGGCCAGCAUCGGUUUUCGCGGGGGGACAAAGGUCCCGGGAACGUAGCUCCUCCGGGAGUGUUAUAGCCCGGGGCGUAAUGCCCUCGCGGGGACCGAGGACCGCGCUUCGGCAAGGAUGCUGGCGUAAUGGUCAUCAGCGACCCGUCUUGAAACACGGACCAAGGAGUCAAGGUUUUGCGCGAGUGUUUGGGUGUAAAACCCGCACGCGUAAUGAAAGUGAACGUAGGUGAGAGCUUCGGCGCAUCAUCGACCGAUCCUGAUGUAUUCGGAUGGAUUUGAGUAGGAGCGUUAAGCCUUGGACCCGAAAGAUGGUGAACUAUGCUUGGAUAGGGUGAAGCCAGAGGAAACUCUGGUGGAGGCUCGCAGCGGUUCUGACGUGCAAAUCGAUCGUCAAAUCUGAGCAUGGGGGCGAAAGACUAAUCGAACCAUCUAGUAGCUGGUUACCGCCGA
rnacentral:rRNA from 1 species